rnacentral:rRNA from 1 species
AACGAACGCUGGCGGCAUGCCUAACACAUGCAAGUCGAACGAGACCUUCGGGUCUAGUGGCGCACGGGUGCGUAACGCGUGGGAACCUGCCCUUAGGUUCGGAAUAACUCCCCGAAAGGGGUGCUAAUACCGGAUAAUGUCUUCGGACCAAAGAUUUAUCGCCUUUGGAUGGGCCCGCGUUGGAUUAGCUAGUUGGUAGGGUAAAAGCCUACCAAGGCGACGAUCCAUAGCUGGUCUGAGAGGAUGAUCAGCCACACUGGGACUGAGACACGGCCCAGACUCCGACGGGAGGCAGCAGUGGGGAAUAUUGGACAAUGGGCGAAAGCCUGAGCCAGCAAUGCCGCGUGAGUGAUGAAGGCCUGAGGGGUGUAAAGCUCUUUUACCCGGGAUGAUAAUGACAGUACCGGGAGAAUAAGCUCCGGCUAACUCCG